rnacentral:misc_RNA from 1 species
GGUAGUAGAGGCUUUCAACACUUCGAGUCUACGCGAGAUCAUCUCAUAUUCUCUCAAAUUUAUUGAAGAAAUGGCUCAAUCAGCAAAACCGAUCUCGAGUCCAGUACCUGAUGCGUGGUACCCAACCCUAGCAGUGUUCAUGCUUGCAAUUGGUCUUGUUGUAACUGCUUCAUUUUUCAUCUAUGAAGCUACUGCUCCGAGGAAAUACCGUAGUCUUGCAAAGGAGCUUGUAACAGGGACAGUAGCGUCUGUUUUCUUGGGUUUUGGAUCCUUGUUUUUGCUACUUGCUUCCGGCGUAUAUGUUUGAUCCAUCUACAUGGAUAGAGAUAUGAAGUUUUUUACUAAUGUUUCUACAUGAACGGUUUUGAGUACUGCUGUGAUUUUAUAUGACUUAUCGUUGAAGACCGUAUCUAUAGAACUGAUUAUUAUCACCUAGUCUAGUCUGAGAAUUUAUUACUUAAUGGCAAGCAUUGGAGAACUAGUUGAAAAUUUUCUGAGGUACAAGAAAAUACUUCUUAUGAUCA